UACCAGCUCUCCGAGUGGUGUGGAUGUUUAUUGGGCCUAAAGCAUCCGUAGCUGGCUGGGCAAGUCCCCUGUUAAAUCCACUGAUUUAAUCAUUGGAGUGCGGGGGAUACUGCUCGGCUAGGGGACGGGAGAGGCAGACGGUAUUUUCGGGGUAGGGGUGAAAUCCUAUAAUCCCGGGAAGACCACCAGUGGCGAAGGCUGUCUGCUAGAACGCGCCCGACGGUGAGGGAUGAAAGCUGGGGGAGCGAACCGGAUUAGAUACCCGGGUAGUCCCAGCUGUAAACGAUGCAGGCUAGGUGUUUGGGCGGCCACGUGCCGCUCUAGUGCCGCAGGGAAGCCGUUAAGCCUGCCGCCUGGGGAGUACGGCCGCAAGGCUGAAACUUAAAGGAAUUGGCGGGGAGCACCACAAGGGGUGAAGCUUGCGGUUU
rnacentral:rRNA from 1 species